UACGGAGGGUCCAAGCGUUAUCCGGAUUCAUUGGGUUUAAAGGGUACGUAGGCGGAUAGAUAAGUUAGUGGUGAAAUCCCGAAGCUCAACUUCGGAACUGCCAUUAAAACUGUUUAUCUUGAAUUUGGUUGAAGUGGGCGGAAUAUGACAUGUAGCGGUGAAAUGCAUAGAUAUGUCAUGGAACACCAAUAGUGAAGACAGCUCACUAAGCCAAUAUUGACGCUGAGGUACGAAAGCAUGGGUAGCGAACAGG
rnacentral:rRNA from 1 species